GACGUAGGGCGCGAGCGUUGUCCGGAAUUAUUGGGCGUAAAGAGCUCGUAGGCGGUCUGUCGCGUCGGCUGUGAAAACCCGGGGCUCAACCCCGGGCCUGCAGUCGAUACGGGCAGACUAGAGUGUGGUAGGGGAGACUGGAAUUCCUGGUGUAGCUGUGAAAUGCGCAGAUAUCAGGAGGAACACCGGUGGCGAAGGCGGGUCUCUGGGCCAUAACUGACGCUGAGGAGCGAAAGCGUGGGGAGCGAACAGG
rnacentral:rRNA from 1 species